GAAUGUUUAGUCUUACAUUCUGUGUCACUUCCGGCUGCUUGUUAUAUAACAAGCCUAAACAAAAGGCAAACUCAUGAUUUGUUUGACGCAGAAAAAAUGAGCAUGUGCGACCAGAAGGUUUCCAUCGGGUACUCCAGUUUUCUCCAGCAGUUCAAAGACAUGCUCAUGUACAGUCCUGCUUAGAGAGUCCUAUGAAGGCUGAG